CGGACGGGUGGAGUAACGCGUGGAAAACCUGCCGUAUACUGGGGGAGUAACACUUAGAAAUAGGUGCUAAUACCGCAUAAGCGCACAGCUUCGCAUGAAGCGGUGUGAAAAACUCUGGUGGUAUACGAUGGUUCCGCGUCUGAUUAGCUAGUUGGUGGGGUAAUGGCCUACCAAGGCAACGAUCAGUAGCCGGCCUGAGAGGGUGAACGGCCACAUUGGGACUGAGACACGGCCCAAACUCCUACGGAAGGCAGCAG
rnacentral:rRNA from 1 species